GUUUACACAUGCAAGUCGAACGGAAACGAAAAUAGCUUGCUAUUUGGCGUCGAGUGGCGAACGGGUGAGUAACGCGUAGGAAUCUACCCAGUAGAGGGGGAUAGCCCGAAGAAAUUCGGAUUAAUACCGCAUAAUCUCUACGGAGUAAAGAAGGCCUCUUUACAAUGCUUUUACUAUUGGAUGAGCCUGCGUUAGAUUAGUUAGUUGGUAGGGUAAAAGCCUACCAAGGCGACGAUCUAUAGCUGGUUUUACGAGAAUGAUCAGCCACACUGGAACUGAGACACGGUCCAGACUCCUACGGGAGGCAGCAGUGAAGAAUAUUGGACAAUGGGGGAAACCCUGAUCCAGCAAUGUUGCGUGUGUGAAGAAGGUCCGAGGACUGUAAAGCACUUUCAGUAAGCAAGAAAAAUGUAAAUCUAAUAGAUUUGCAUGUUGACCACUUAUAGAAGAAGCACCGGCUAACUCCGUGCCAGCAGCCGCGGUAAUACGGAGGGUGCGAGCGUUAAUCGGAAUUACUGGGCGUAAAGGGUAAGUAGGCGGUUUAUAAAGUCACAUGUGAAAGCCCUAGGCUUAACCUAGG
rnacentral:rRNA from 1 species